UUUCCGAUUUCGCAGAAAUACUGCGACUCGCUGAUUUUCCAACUUUAGCUUGACUUCGGACAGAGAGGCGUCUAACCGAGAAUAAGAGACCAGAAAACACGGAGACCCGUCAGCUACUCACGGUUUAGGCUGAGUGUGUGGACACGGCGGCUCAAUCUGCGCGGCACAGUGACGGGAGACGAAGUGAGGAGCAUAGACGUUUUACCGAAUGUGAAAGUAAGAGUGAGGUCUGAGUUCACCGUGGAGCCGACAUCUCUCGCUCCCCCCUCUCUGAGCUGGAGUAGUGCAGCCCAUUCCCUCUUGGCAUGGGGAAGGCUGUAAAAAGAUACCAAAGAAAUGGCAGUUGAGGGGAUCUAUGGACAUCCAGGACAAGGAGAACUGUUUGUAUGCCGGCCAGGAAGGCAAAGCAAAACCACCCAUGACAGCAGAGGACCUGCAGGAAGGUUUAGGUGUCAGAGGAGUGGUGGUGCACUGCUCUGAUGUGCAGUGUUGCUUGUACAAACAUGAUCUACAUGGAAAAGUCAUCAGAAGCCUGCAACUUCAUGACAAAUGUGAACAUCUGAACAACAUAUAGAUAAGCCAAAAGCAUUUUGGAAAAAAGUUCUAUGGACUGAUGAAGCAAAAUGAAACUCACUGGCCACAGAAACCAAAGAUCCACCAUGAUGUACUUUCAGAAACGCAAGCUGAAGCUUGGAAUGGCUUUCACAGUUUGCAGAAUUAAACAUCAAUGAAAAUCUGUGAGUAGUUGUAAAACGUGCUGUGCAUGCAAGAUGGCCCAAGAAUACUGCAGAAAUAGAAAUAUUCUGCAAGUGGGUGACAAUUUCUUAAAAUGGCUAAAUUUCUGCAUACAACUUCGUUCAAAAAAGCAAAAAAAGGUUUUUUUCCAAGAAAAACACUAGACUAUUCCAUUGGAUGAUUAUUAAUUUAAUUAAUGUAUAAAAUAAUUUAAAAAACAAUGUGUAAGAAAAAUAAAUAAGGGUUGAAAUCCAUGGCUGUAGUGUAUUAUACUACAUUACAUAAUUUGAAAUGACCUCACGAAAAUCUAUAUUGUGCAUUGUAUAUAUAUAAUGUUUGGCCCCCCUAGAAAUUCUUCAAAAUGAAAUGUAACUGAAGUAUAUUCUCAUUCAUAGUUUAUGUUCUUAAGUUCACCUGAGCGAUUAGUAACACUUAAAUGGUCAGCUAUGAUUUCCUGCUUCACUGGAGAAUAUAUAUGAGAUGAAACACAGACCAAUGCCCCCAUUAUCCACCACUAUGCGAAAGACCGUUCU